rnacentral:rRNA from 2 species
CCUUCGGGAGGACGGUCACCACUUUGUGUUUCAUGACUGGGGUGAAGUCGUAACAAGGUAACCCUAGGGGAACCUGGGGUUGGAUCACCUCCUUAUCUUGAAG